GCACGAACCACGGAGGAGGAAGGAUAUAGGAAUGAAGAGGAAGGAAUGUGUUUCUAGGGAUCCUUCAGGCAUUAAUCCACAUACCUACAUGAUGAACUGUGAGUGGAUAACGAUGAGGGUGUCCCGAGAAGACGACAAGGUCAUCGAAGCGGAUGGCAGUACUUAUGGACUCCCUUGUGUCCUUCGCCUCCUGAUGCUUUCCUGGGAUCGAUGCGCCGCGUGAAGGUUGAAGACGAGUCACGCUUACAAAGAGCGCAGUAUAAAGGAACACUAAGGAAGAACAAACACCAGCAGACCUCUUGGCCCUCAGGAGACAUUUAAUAAAGUGCAUUGGUCUGUCUGAAGAAGGAAUGAGAGACGACAACGAAGGAAGAAGAGGAGAAAAAGAAUAGAAGAGCAGAAAGAAAAGAUAAAGAAAAAUUAGGAAGAAAAGAAUAGAAAAGGAGGAGGAAGAAGAAAAGAAGAGGAAGGAGAGGAAACAAGGAAGAAACAAAUAAAAGAACAGAAGAAAGUGGAAGAAAAUUAGUUAUGCAUUAUUCCGUCCUGCUGUCCUUCCUCCCUCCCUCCCUCCCUCCCUCCAAUAAUGGAGAUGAGAGGAAACAACCUCGCCUAUUAGUCACGUGACAGGGCUAUGAACCAAUUGGCUGUGUGUGUGCAAAGAAAGUCGUUGUAUAUGUAUGUAAGAAGCAAAAUGUUUGUUAGUAGUAGUAGUAGUUAAAAAUUUAGAGAGAGAGAGAGAGAAAGAAUGAUUACAGCCUCAAGGCCUCAGUGAGUUAGUUUACUGAGUCACCAUCAUGAAAUCUGGCAUGAGGGAUCUUCCGCCAUCACCAUCAUCGUCAUCACCGCCAUCACCAUCAUCGUCAUCACCGCCAUCACCACCGCCAUCACCAUCAUCAUCACCUCCAUCACCAUCAUCGUCAUCACCUUCGUUUCCUCCUUCCCACUUUUCUUUUUUCCUUUACAUUUCAUCUCCAUUCCUCUGAUAAUUCUUAAUAACCAUAAUAUUUCAUGAUUAUACAGUAACUUUUUUAAUCGUACCUCAUUACCCAUUUCACUUUUGGUUAGUAAGGUUAGAAUCAUUGAAAGGGUAAAUGUAUGAUUGUAUUAUCAAGGUUACAGUCACUGAAAGGCUAAAUGUGUGACUGUACUUUCAUUUGUAUGCAUUCAAUGGUUCAGUGCUUGUCUACCUAAUGCAUUUAUAACAGGCAGAUGAUAUCGACUGAUUUAUUGAUAUGUAUGAUAAUAGAAAGUUGUGUAUAUGAAGUGAGACAACACCUAACACACACACAAACACACACACAUUCUUUCACUCACCUAUGCACUCACGCACUCCAAUGCUCACACACGCACUAACAACCUCACAAAUCUUCAUGAACCACAAAGAAAUAAGAAAGAAUAUAGACUAAAGAACAUUUGCACAGGUUGAGAAAGAGGUACAUUUCCUGCUGUUAUCAAUACUAACAAUUAUUACUUUAUUGCAGGGAGGUGUGUUCCACUUGUCUGGUGCUGUAUGCUGCUGUACACAGUAUUUCCAGUCAGACACAGGGUUGAGAGUCCUUACUGUGUGGCUGAGUAAUGUGUGACCCCUAUGUUGUUGUAUAAUUCUUGUUGUAUGUCUGUAAUGUCUGUAAUAACAAUCAUGCAACAGACUUGUCAGCCAAAACACAAAAUAUUUAACUUGCAUACAGGCAGACAUAGUGUUAGCAGAGCAGAAUGUGUAACUGAAAUACCCUGGUGAGCAGAUUACACAACAGAAAGAGUCAGAGGAAGAGUCAAGAGUCAUUUGUAAGCCACAUGUAGCCAGAUGUGUUACUUUAAUACAAUGGUUUUCAACCGGGGUAGGGAUGCUCCCCCAUGGGGGAGCUCAUGCCUCCUCUCCUGAGAGAGUGUGAGCACAGGACGGGAUGUGGAAAAAAAUCACAGAAAAUCACAAUUAGUACAAGGGAGAUGCAGCUGUUAUGCCUAGCCAAUGGCUAUCUAUCUACCUAUCCAUCUGAUUCUGUCUGUCUAUGGUGGCAUAGUUGGAGAGGGGGUUGAGUGGGUUGUGCAGGGAGGAAGGGGCCCCAUUUGAAUUGAACCACGUUUGGGGGGACCCAGCUUGCAAAAGGUUAAGAACCCCUGCUUUAAUAACAUAUUAGGAAUCAGUGAAAAAGUCAGGCGUCAGUUUUGACUCACAAACUACAUCAGCAAAGAGGCAACUUGUGUGUGGCAUUCAAGCUCCUCCAGUCUUGUAUCUCUGUACAUGAUGUGUGUACUGUACUUAUAUUAGAAUGUAAGGAAGAUAGAGGCAACUCAUGUGUGGCAUUCCAAGCUCCACCAGUCUUAAUAUACAUCUCUGUACUGUAUGCAUAAGCCAGAAUGUACAGAAGAAAAACAGGGAGAGCUAACUAACUUACCAGCAUAAACUAAGAUUCUUCCAUCUGCAUACAUCACACGUCACUCUUAAAACAUUACAAACACAAGACUCCAGAUGGUUUAUGGUCUCUUCAUCUGCAUAUUGUAUUAUAUAUUACACUUCUGAUUCCAGUAUUCCAGUAAUUCACAUCUCAGCAGGAUUACAUCAAAGGUUAAAAAUAAAAUUGCAAACAUCAAAGGUUAAAAAUAAAAUUGCAAACAGCAUUCAGGCUGGUCUCAAUUCAUCUGUCUUGCCCAUCACAUCCGUGCAUCCAAAGACCCCCACACCUCCCUUGCUUGCACAUUAAAGGAUCUUGGGUGAGGUUGA